rnacentral:lncRNA from 1 species
CGGUUCUGCCUGUCCUAUCAACGGAGGGUGGACUAUAUAAGAAUCAACGAAGCUGUCACUAUCGCGAACUACCACACGACCCGGCCAAUAGGAUACAUUUGCAGAUAAAUAACAUCUAAGCACCACGCUCACAUGUGAUCUAUCACCUAACUCCCUCGCGUCAAGAGCUAAGCGCUUUGCAAACUUAUACAUAAACUCAUUAUCAAUUAGAACUAUAUCAAAUAUAGAACUAGAACAAACUAAGAACAUAAUAAUUAGAGACAUAAUGCAAAUAGAACAAAGAAUUAGAGAAAGAUAUGAAUAAUACCAAUCUUUGUUACCGAAGAUCCGAAUCCAGAGCGUAGUGCUCUACUUCUCUAAUUGCUAUCUAAUUAAACCUCUAAACUUGAAGGAUUAGGGAGUAGCUAAUUCUAAUUCUCUGUGGGAGAGAAGCUCUAAACCCUAACUUUGAUGGCUACCUCUAAAUAAUGAUUUCUUCUCUUCUCCUCCAGGGGCCAGGGGGUCUGAUUUUAUAGUCCCCUCAAGUGAACGUGAGCCAUUGGAUCAAACCGACAUAGAUUGUAUGGUUUAGAUUGAUCCUUUAGGUCGAUGGAGCGUAGUCCUGAAGCAGAGUCCUGAUCUAGCUCCAACCCUGGGCGGGCGCCCAAGGGGGUUGGGCGGGCGCCCUGCCCCCGAGCCCGAUUCCCUUCUCGUUCGUUCCCGUGGCUUCUGGAUUCUUCUAGGUUGAGGAAAAUUGCGCGGCACGUAAUUAUCUCGUUGUAAACAUGACAUGUGGGCCUUCUCUCCAUAUUCUCUGAUAACCCCCUGCAGAAAUAGAUAAACACCAAAGCUCGUGGAAUUCUGUCAGAUAAAACCCUAAUUCUAGAUGUUUGUUUCAUAUUGAUCCUUUUUCAUGUUUAUUUGAUUAUUAAUUUUAGUACUUAAGGACCGUCAACAAACUCCCCCAAGCUUACCCUUUGCUCGUCCCUGAGCAAAUAGCUAAACUCAGACGGAUCAGGAGUUGCUUCGAUGUUUUCUUUCCUGACAGGCACACAUGCUUUUACAUAAAAUUCUUCCAGAUUAGAGUGAAGUUUUAUAAAGUUUAGUACCUGCACUUAAAUCUUAAGUAAUCGAAAGACAAAAUAGUUAAGUCAAGUACUAUCCCUCCUGUCUAUACUUCACCUUUGUUCCAGAGUUUUUUCAUAAGUUUUCAAAAUAAAACUCAGAGUUCCCAGCAAUGAUUCUCUCAAGUCUCUCUAUAUGUGGUAUUUGUGGAUCCUUACCAUAAUGUCACUUACCUAUAGCUAAUGGAAUAUUUAAGUGGAGCUCAUAGGAGUGAAAAACAGCUCAUACAUAUGUUGUCUAAUCGAGGCAUGGAUCCAAAGGAACUCAACAUAUAAUUAAAUCAAGAUGUGCAUGUGUGGUGGAGUGAAUGAUAGUGAUGGUAAAAAUGUAUAAGUGAUAAUGAAACUUAGUUCUCAUUGCUCCUCAUAUUGCUAUCUCUCCUUCUUCUCUGAUCUUUGCUUUGGGAGAACAUGGGCUAUUUUUUCAGGUGGGUAGUAGAUACCCCUAAUUCUACUGUCGGACACUUGUCCAUUUUUUCCGCUCAAGUGGGCAUCUUUGUACCCCUAAUUCUACUUCGGACACUUGUCCAUUUUUACCUCUCAUCUCACUUUUUUUUUCUUUCUUUUUCGAGGUUCCGGGCACUUGCCCCUUUUUAUUUCCUCGCAUAUUUUUGCAUAACCCAUGCCUCUUCUGCAUUGAAUCUUUUUAGAGAGAGAGAAUAACAAUAUUCGGGACAGUGAGUGAUAAUAUUUUUAGCAACUUUUAAUGAAUGGUGAUGAAUGGUGUAGUGGAUGUGUGCAAGUGAAUAUCUUAAUUUAACCACAUGAAAAGCUCCUAUGGGUCUACACAGCUCGAUCAAACUCAAUGUAAAUAUGGUAAAAGAUGUUUUAGCAAGUAUGGCUGUGGUAGGUAGUUUGUUAUGCUAGGAACUCAUCAUGUGACUUGUAAGUUUUCAAACUAAAUCUCUAGAACUUAGUGUAGUAGGAACAAGAUAAACAGCAGCUCAACUUUAUAUCAUGCCUUUUUCUUACCUAGACUUUAGUUUUAUGCUUCCCAAAGAUAGUAAUUUUUGUUUUAGUAAUUCCUGGAAGAACUCUAAUAUAAAAGCUAGGUACUUGAAAGUAAGCAAACAGAUAAGCUAUUCAUCAUUUCCAUCAUGCAUCUUUUUGGUCUUUUUAUUUUUCUAGAGAUUAAGACUUAGCAGAUAAAUAAAGCACACUUAUCUACACAAUCUUUUUAUUUUGUUUUCAUAUUUAUAGAAUGCAGUAAAUUAAAGCAAGAAAAUAUUUAUUAAUUGGUUUUCUAAGGUUUUUUUAAGAUAAAAUACUAAAAUAGAAAAGAAUAAAUAAGAAGAGCAAAUAAAAACUUACUUGAUAAAUUGGGAAGGAACUUCCCCAAGCUGGAUGUUGACGUCGGUCUUACCCGAUGUUCCAGAACCGCAUCAUGGUUGUGAUGUUGUCGUUCAUUGUUGUUGUAUCUUGUCUCAGCUCUUGCACUGCAGCGGCAUGGUCCUGGUUCCAUUUUUGCUGUUCUUCCAGGAGUCUUCCAUGUUCUGCUUGCGUGUUCUGGAUGUCUAGGAGGGUGUUGUCGGUACGAGUGAAGAAAGCACCGGCCUCUUGAUAGUAGUCAUUCGUGAAAGCGUAGGAGGCGUCGGAGUAUCGUCCUGCAUCAAAUUGGGGCGGAGGUCUGGAUCCUGAAGCUCCAUAUGGAUCAGUGGAGUACCUGCCCGUAUGAAAAGGCGGGUUUGUCCACUGGUGAUCUUGGCUCUCCGGGCAUGUCUCCUCUGUCGGCUCUUGUGGUUGCGCAUGACGUACCCAUGGGUCUCGAAGGACUCGGGGGUUGUAAUCGCAAUAAUGCAAGUGUGCUGCUUCUUCUGGUCCGGGAUCAGCUCCAUACCAGGUGCGUUCUCGGUGGGUGGUCAUCCUUUCAGAUGCCACUCGCUGUGGAGUUCUCUGGUUCACUGGUGUUGCUGCAAUCUCAAUCAAAAAGUUUUGAACAACGUAGAUGCCAAGGUUCAGGUUAGGUAACCGAAUCUUGCCUUUAUCAUCAUAUAGCAUAUACAUUACAUUCCCCUCUUUCUUUAACAUCCGAGCUUGUCUAAAUGUGUCAUAGCCAUGAUAAAUUCUUAAUUCUUCUAUGAAGUCCAACGAUGAAUUUUCUAGUAAGUGAAGAUUAGAGGCUAGACGAGUGAUAAGUGAGGUACAUCCUACUGGUCCCUGAAGACUAGGUAUACUAAGCCAAUGUGAAACAAAUAGUGUAACAGGUGAAGUGGGUACUUUACUAAUAGCAGCAUAUAAAAGUUGUAAAUCUCCUACUCUUACUUUCCUAAUAUCAUCGCGAUAGAAAAGAUUGUACCCAAGCCAUUUGUGGAACAUCCUAAGAGUGGGGUGUUCCAUGUCACUGGUUCGGGCUUGACUAUAAAAAUUAUCUCUAGAUAUUUCUCUCCAAAACUGGUGUCUCUCAAAGUUGGGUAAAUCGGAGUCAAUGUCCAGGAUGCAUCUUGAAGAGAAACCAAGAUGGUCGCUUAGCUCUCUCCAAGACAACAUAAUUUCCUGUUUGAACAUCCGAAAAACAAUUCCCCCCCUCAUAGUAUUGUAAGGUGCAAAGAAAUUCGAGGGUGAGAAGACGAGAACCCAGCUCAGUUAUAUUUCAAAAAUCUGUCCAACCCAUUAUCUGAAAAAUUAAGUCGAAUUCAGUGUCCAUACCUGUUUCUUGUAGUAGGAUUGGAUCGAGAGUAGGGGUAUUGUCGGUGUUUUUCCCCCGGGGGGUCACACCAACGAGUAAAUUUGUAUGCGUGCUCCCCUUUCCGGAUGGUGAUGCAAGAAGACAUAGAGAUUUAUCCUGGUUCGGGCAAGAGAAGGCCCUACGUCCAGCGGGGGAGAGAGUUUGUAUUAUCUUGCACCUAAGUGCUCGUACAGGGGCGAAUACAAGCGUGGUAUGAAGUGUGUUGCUCUACUACGUGCGUGUGGGUUCUUGUGUUGUGAUGUCCCUCUCUUCUAUUCCUGAGUCCCUCCUUUUAUAGCUCCAAGGAGAGACACAGGGCACAUGCAUAGAUGUUAGAGUAGGGAUCGAUAGCCGCAUGGGGCGCUGACCUACUCGAGGCUUCCGUACGGCAUGGCCUCGAGCCGUCCCAUCUUGAUAGCUUGGUGAUGAUUACGCGUGCUCCUGUGUUCUGCCUUGCCGGCCGCCAUGUGCUGGUUCUGAGGUCGCACGCUUGUACGGUAUAGUGGCGGACCCGACGGGGUAGCUGUGAUGAAGUCAGUCGACGCCCAACUUGUCCCUAGGAAGGGGACUUGUUUGGCCGAGGGUCUGACGCCGUGUAAUAUGCUGGUAUCUGGAGCGCUGACCUUGGGUGUCUCGAGGGGGUCCCGAUUAGACGUUCCAUCCUCGUUUCCUGUGUCCUGACUCGCCCUGGGUCGUUCGGUGGGAAGGCUGCAAAAAGAACGAUGGGACAGAAGCUUGCUCCCUAUCACGCCUUCCGUGACCUGCGUGUUAGGUGGGGAAGCGUCAGGCGCAUUUAAUGCUCCGGCUCGCGUGCGCGCGUCGGGCGGCGGAUAGUGUCCUCGCGCCCGACACCUCUCGGUUCGCUCGAGCCCGCUUCCGUCAUCGACGGCAGUCGUCGCUCGAGUCCUGAACCGAUUCGUUCGACGCUAUUUCCGUCUUCGAGGCUGCGACCGUCGAUGGCGGCGCAUACGUAAGAUUAGAGCGUCGAAUUAAGGUUCUCGACCUUCGUACGGGCAAUCUCAUAAUGCGCAUCGUUGAGGGUACCCCUUACCGAUACCCUCGACAGUAGCCCCCGAGCCUCCAUUCGAGCGCUAGCGCUCGGAUGGAGGUUUUGAUUUACGGUUAAAUUUUCGUGGGGGCGCGCGAGCGACCCCGCGGGGUAGCCCCCGGGCCCUCGGAGGAGUUUUUGACUGCUUCGAGGGUUAUGUUAUCUAAUUCGCAGAAACGCUUUCGACACCAGUGGUGGAAGGUUCUGACUGGCUCGUUUUUGCCCUGGGGUUUCGACGUACUCUCGAUAGAGCGAGCGUCUUCCAUCCCGAAUUGAGUUCCUAGCGGGUAGUCCAAGUGAGAACCUGUGCCCCUUUCGAGGGGGUCAGCUGUAGCCCGGAGGCGUCCUCAUAAAGCAGGGUCGACGUGGUCGGGGAUACCGGUCUCAUUCGAUAGAGUCCAGCGGCUCGAUGCCUCCCUUCGGGGGGAUUCCUCUCGACUGUCUCGACCCUAUCUUGAACAUCGCCAGCGAGUCCUCGAGGCGGGCCUCGAUCUUCGACCGCUCGCUGGGGAUCCCUGACUCUGGCGCUCGAGAUCGGCUGUCGAACCCUUUCGGCGGGCCAGCCAUCGACCUCUCGAGACUUUUGCGGUUAUGUCCCUUGGCUUACGAGGGAAGGGAACGGUCGUGGCGGUUCGCCUUUCUGCCCGUUGGGCGCGUCUUUUUAGGCGGAUGACGUUACGACACCGUAUCGGCGAGGAAUUCGGAGAGUCCGGCCUGUGAGGAGAGAGAGAGAGCUAUCAGGCGGCGCAUUUAUGGGGGGAGUUACCUUACUUCUCGGAUCUGUCCGUUGGCGGACAGCUGCCUAUAAAUACGUCGUCGCGUCACCGCCGUUCCUCUCCCUUCCGCCUUCUCGCUCUUGUUCCUUUGCUGCCUUUGCUUUCUCGUCGUCUCACGCGCACACGCCCCCUCGAGCCGUAGCGAACCCACCGUCCCGUUAGCCGAGAUGCCUGUAAGACUCGUCGCCGCUGAUGACUGGCGCCCGUCGUCGAUGACGGAGCGCCGGCUGCUAGAGCUCGAGAAGGAAGGACUGCUGCGCCGCCGCACCUCGCUGUCGUCGCCAGAGUGGAUCGCGCCGCCAGCGAGCCACAGGGCGCCUCAGCCACCCGAGGGCUACGUGGUGUCGUUCGCCAAGUUUCACCGCCACGGUCUGGGCGCGCCUCCAAGCCGCUUCAUGCGGGCCCUCUGCUUUCAUUAUGGGGUGGAGCUGCAGCACUUCUCUCCGAACGCCAUCACCGUGGCGGCGGUCUUCGCCGCCGUGUGUGAGGGCUUCCUAGGGAUGAUGCCGCACUGGGAGCUGUGGCUCCACCUCUACAGGGGCGAGCUGUUUCACGCCUCCACCGGAACCACGGGCGUGAGGAAACCCGUGCGAGCGGGUUGCCUCAAUCUGGUGCAGAAGACGGGGAAGACGGACCGGCCGCGGGAGUACAUCCCGGUAGGGUUGUCGACCAACCACGCCGGCUGGGACUCCCAAUGGUUCUACCUGCGGAACGACGACAACCUCCUGCCUUCCUACUCGGGCCGUCUGAUCUUGGAGCGCCCAGCGGACUGGACGUACGGCGUCGUCCAAGCUCAUCAGCCUCGGCUCGACCCUCUCCUCGACGCCCUGAAGAAGCUUCGCCAGGAAGGUUUGACCGCCGCCCUCGUCCUCUCGGCCGUCCAUCAUCGGAGAGUUCUUCCUUUGAUGUCACGACCGCUGAGGAUGGACGAGAUGGGCCCUGGCGUCUCGUCUCGGGACCUCGAGGCAUGUCGGAUGUCCAGCGAGCCUCCGGCGGACGAUGAAGUCGCGGCCCGAGUCAGGGCCGCAAUUGCCGGUGAUUUUAAGCCAGAGCAUGUCAACGGCUUCCCCAUGAGGCCUGACGCAGGCUCGAUCGAUCUGGUACGUUUUCUUCUUGCGCGCAUCCUCGAUUCUAGGUUUCCCCUCUCCCCUCUCUUUUUUUUUUCUAAGUCUACCUUAGUUUUGGCAGGGUCGGAUAGAUGUCCGGUCCUCGAGGCCUCCAGUAAAGGAGGACGAGGUCGAUCGCGACAAACGACGCCAAUCCGCCGAGAAGCUGAAGUCUGCCAAGGACUCCGCAAAGAAGGGGGAGAAGAAGAAGAAUCUCGACCGCCAAGCAUUAGAGGUGCGUCGAGCCAAAUCCAGGCAGAGGGGGGAGCCUGAGGAAGAAUCCCCCAACGAUGACGAUGACGACGACGAGAGUAGCGACGACUCCGAGGGGAUGGCGUCGCGCCUUGAUCGGAUCCUCGAGGGCCCGCCUCGAGAUGACGUCGACGCCCCCCGGACGGAGGCGCCGGAGGAGGGUCCGAGCGGACCUCGUCGUCCCCGGCCCGACGCUCCUUCCGCGCUCAAGGCGGGCCAAGACGCACCGCGCCCUCCCCUGGCGCCCAGGGAGAGCGGUCCGGCUAGGUCCCAGGCGUCGGGGCCGCUAACCCGCGGUCGCGUUGCGGCCUCUGAGAAAGGAGACGCCGGCCGUAGGAGCGCGAGUCCCGGCGCCCGCCAGGCGGGGUCCGACGUACCUAGGCCAGUUUCUGCCCUCGAGGGGCCUAGCGCCUCGACGCGGGGUGGCUCGAGGCCUGCUGGUCGGGGUGGCGGAAGGCGAGCCGUUCUGCCCGUUGGGUAAGCUCUUUUGUUGUUGCGGUCUUUGUCCCCCAUUCUUUCACCUUUCCUCACAUGCUGAUUUUUUCUUAGGCUGAAACGGACCCUCGAGCAGGCCCAACCAUCGAUGGCCAAGAGGCUCAGAACGGGUGCCGCCUCCACGGAACCAGGUUCGUAGUUAAUUCCUGGGUGUCGCGAUAUUAUUACGUCGGUUAUCAUAACGUCUGACCCUUACCCUUUGUUUUGUAGGCUCGUCAAGCACCCAACCUCCAGCCGGCGUCGAGAUUGCUUCACCUCGUCCCGCGCCUACUCCGCCGCCACCGACUCAUGAUGCGGCCCCCCCAGACGCGAGCGUCAGAAGGAGCCCCCGAGCCCUCUCGAUUGGGGGUCGAGGGGGAACCCAUCACCAUCAGCGAUACGUCUGAUGGCAACGAAGCGUCUGGGGGCGCUCGACCCAUGGAGGAAGAAGCGUCGACUCCCAACGUCGCGGGACGGACUCCUUGGCCCGCGGGCCUUCGAGCCCUCGAGGCGCAAAGGAAGAUGGUGGAGGAGGAGGGGCGGGAGCUCGAGGCGACGCAGCCGUCAUUGGAGCAGCAGCAGCAGCGACCCCAGCCGGAGGAGCAACUGCAGCAUCAGCAGGAGGAGCAGCAGCAGCAGCUGGGGCAGCAACAGCAGCUGGGGGGCCAAGAGAACGAGCCACUCGAGCCCCCGCCUCAAAUUUUGGCCGAACCGGCGCCGCUGGCGUCGUAAGAGCCCGGCGAUCAAGAGGGAGAUUUGCCGGUGUACGGGCCUCCCACCCCAGCGUGGCUCCUCCCGGGGGCGCCUGCCGCGAUCCGGGCAGAGUCGGGGCGAGCGGACGGAGUGGUGGCGCUCGCCUGCAUGAUGCGCACCCCUACCGACCCCGAGUCCGAGAUCAAGGGGACACUCUACGGCAUGGACGGGAUCGCCCCAGGGUUCCUCCAGGAGCGUCGAGCGUGGGAGGACCGCUUUCCCUCUGAGGAAGACGAGAUCGGGUCGUCUGGGAGCAAGGACGGUACGUGGAAGACGGUGGACGACGACGGCCGGUUCCCUUGCCUCGCCGACCUGUUCUUGCGCCACGGGGGUUCCCUCGAGACCGUCGAGAACUUCCUCCGCGGCGUCAAGGUGCGGGCCGAUCGGGAGAUGGAGAACUGGUGCCCCGAUCGGAUUCGUAUCCGAGCUUCCAGCGACCCAUCCGAGCCCAAUAUCUUCCUCGAUGACAAGAAGGAAGUCGAGAAGUGGGAGCACGUCGAGGAGCUCCGCCUUUGGAUGAAACACGUGGUGGGGCUCCUAUCGGACGUCAUCAACAACGGGCUCGGGCCCGCUUAUUUUGUAAGUCUUUCUCGAGCUCCAAUCUUUGUGGUGCUUUCGGGUCUCCGUGUUCUAAUCCCCCUGACCCCUGAUUCGCAGGAUAUGAAAGAGACCUCUCGCAUCAAGUCUAGCUUCAUACAUGCCACGAGGGGCGGAUGGGAGCAGCUUCCCCUCCUCAAGGAUCAACUCCUCGAGUCGCAGGAAAAGCUGCUUAAAGCUUACAAAGAUCUUAUAGCACUCGAGGAGGAGAAGAAGGUGAGGGAGGCUGCUUUGGCCGAGGCCCGAGAGGUCUCGAAGAAGGCGGAGGAGGAGGCGGUGCGGUUACGGGAGCGGGCUCUUACGGUCGAGGAGGCCUCGGCCAGAGCCCGGGAGGAGGCCCUGUCCCACAAGAGCAUCAUCGCGGACCUGAACAAGGAGAAGGGCCUUCUCCAAACCGACCUGAACUCCCUCCGCGAUACCUUCCAGAAGAUGAAGGUGGCGUACGUGGACAAUGAGGUCGCCAGGGGUGCCGCCGAGGACGCAAAGAAGAAAGCCCUCGAAGACCUCGAGCUGGAGCGAGCUCGAUCCCGCAGUCUCUCUGACGACGUCGAGCGUCUGAAGGGAGAACUGCUGGAGAAGAGUGGAGCCGUCGCUCAGGCUGGCAGGGUGAUCGAAGAUCUCCGCGUUGCCAAUACUGAGCUGGUUCGCUCCAACAGAGAGAUCGAGCGUGCCAACACCAGAUUGGUUGGCGAGAACACGGCUCUAGAGGAGAGCAUCAAAGGUAUGUUCCCUUUGUCGAAUUUCCUUUUCGAGGUGUGCUUGAGUUUUUCCUAAAGCUUCUUUGUAUUGGUAUUUAUAGGGCUCAAGGACGAACUCCUGGCCGCCCAAGCCGAGGCUCGCAACGCCAAGGCUCAACUCGAGGCUGAGGUUGCUUUGAACCGUCGAGUGCGGACGGCGAUAAGCGAUCUCUCGACCUCUUGGGAGGUCGAGCCUAUGGAUGAGUCGAGGGAGGACGCUCGAGGCGACGCCCUGAUCGACCAGUUGUGCUACAUAGGCGCAACGCUGCGAGAUCGGGUGCGGGAUGCCCUCCACAUCGGGGUGAAGCGGGCGAUGGCAGUUGUCUGCUCGGGCUUCUCCUACGACAUGGAGGUGGUGUCCCAUGGCUUCGUCACCGACAUCUCCAAGACCGACGCGGAGAACGAGGAGAGGCUCCAUGCCUUGAUCGACGACGCGGAGGCUCCUGGGGAAAGGUUGGCCAAGCUCUUCGAGCCUGAGGUGCUCCCUCCUGAGGCUAGCUCGGGCGGAGGUGAGGGCGGUGAGGAUCGUACCACGGACUGAGGCCUGCGAGCCUGCUCGGGGUGCCUGGGGCCCCUUGUAUAAGACUUUGUUAAUCCUGUUUUUAAGCGAUACAGUAUUUUUGUGGUUGUUAAAUGUUUGUUUGUCUUUCCACUCGAGGUUCUUUUAUUUCUUUUUGCGCCUACACAUGUGUUCCUUGUUCGAUUUUUCGUAAAAGACAGCUUCGAUCGCCUCGAGGGUGAGGGAGUGAGUAGAGUUUCCAUAGCCCGGGGGCGUAGGUGUUCUCAGGCUCGCUAUCCUUCGGUCCUCGAGGGGCUCGAGGCGCCUCAACUACUCGAUCGUUGAAGGUUUACUAAGUAGGAAAGAGAGAAACUUUUUGGAUUUUUCGACGCUUGGGGAGGGGUCGUCCCUCUGGUAGCCCCCGAGGGGGUGCGGACUAUGAUGGGUCAUGGUCGGCAUCCCCUUUUGACGUCGAGACUAUAACUCGUGACUAUUUUUGGUACAGAAAGAAGCCGCUCGAGGGAAAGACUUUAUUUAUUCAUGCGUUCAUUUACAAAGUCUUUGUACAAAAUGUAGGAUCGUAAUUCUAGGACUUCUAGGGGUAGAAUCGACGUAGCUGUUCGAUGUUCCAUGCGUUGGUGAAGACUGCCCCCUUUUCGUCCGCCAAUUUGUACGUUCCUGGCUUAAGGACCUCGGCCACCACAUACGGGCCUUCCCAAGGUGGGGUCAGCUUGUGGCGUCCUUGGUUGCUUUGCCGGCGUCGUAGGACAAGGUCGCCUACGUUGAGGUCCCUCUUGCGCACGUGCUUGUCGUGGUAGCGUCGGAGUCUCUGCUGAUAUCUAGCGGAGUUGAGGAGGGCCAUGUCUCGAGCCUCCUCGAGUUGGUCGACCGCGUUUUCUUGAGUUUCUUUGUUUGAUUGCUCGUUGUAAGCCUUGAGUCGAGGUGACCCAUACUCGAGGUCUGUGGGGAGGAUAGCCUCAGAGCCGUAGACCAUGAAGAACGGGGUGUAUUUAGUGGCCCUGCUUGGCGUUGUCCUUAGGCUCCAUAGGACCGAGGAAAGCUCCUCGACCCACUUCUUGCCGAAUUUUUUCAAUCGAUUGUAGAUCCUUGGCUUGAGUCCUUGCAAAAUCAUGCCGUUGGCACGCUCGACCUGGCCGUUAGUUCGAGGGUGGGCUACUGCGGACCAGUUCACACGGAUGUGAUGCUGAUCGCAGAAAUCCAAGAACUUUCUGCCAGUGAACUGGGUGCCGUUGUCGGUGAUGAUGACAUUGGGGAUCCCAAAUCGAUGGAUGAUGUCGAAGAAGAAAAGGACGGCCUGCUCGGAGCGGAUGUUAGUGAUGGGUCGAGCCUCGAUCCAUUUGGAGAACUUGUCAAUAGCCACCAGCAAAUGGGUAUACCCUCCUUUCGCCUUUUGUAGAGGUCCUACUAAAUCGAGCCCCCACACUGCAAACGGCCAGGUGAUGGGGAUCAUCUAAAGAGCGUGGGCGGGCAGGUGCGUCUGUUUGGCGUAGAAUUGGCACCCAUGACACGAGCGUACGAGCUCGAUGGCAUCCGCCACGGCCGUUGGCCAGUAAAAGCCUUGCCGAAAAGCGUUUCCUACAAGGGUCCGUGGGGCGGCGUGGUGGCCACAAGCCCCCGAGUGCAGGUCGUCGAGGAGUUUUCGGCCUUCCUCUAUGGUGAUGCAACGCUGUAAGAUCCCCGUCGGGCUCCGUCGAUAUAGCUCGUUGUCUUCACCAUAGAUCACAUAUGAUUUGGCCCGUCGAGCGAUACGACGAGCUUCUGUCCUGUCUUCUGGCAACUCACCGCGGAUAAGGCAGUCGAGGAACGGUGUGCGCCAAUCGAAUGGUCGACCCGGCCGUCGUUCUAUUUCCAUCACCUCUUCCUCCAUCAAGAGCGCAUCGACAGCAUUGGUUGGUUGGGCGAUGGUGGUGUCGACGCCAGCCCCCGUGCCUAGGUCGACGGAUGGCUCGUGUAGAUCCUUUGAGAAUGCAUCAGGCGGCACUGUGCCUCUGGUAGAUGCAAUCUUGGCGAGUUCGUCGGCUGCCUCGUUGUAGUGUCGAGCGACAUGGACAAGCUCGAGGCCGUGGAAUUUGUCUUCGAGUCGACGCACCUCCUUGCAGUACGCUUCCAUCUUUGGGUCAUGGCAACUCGAGGCUUUCAUUACCUGGUCGAUGACGAGUUGGGAGUCGCCUCGGACGUCGAGGCGUCGGACUCCUAACUCAAUAGCGAUCUUGAGACCGUUGACGAGGGCCUCAUAUUCUGCGACAUUGUUAGAUGCGGCGAAAUGAAUCCUGAUUAUGUACCUCAUGUGGACGCCCAAGCGUGAGAUGAACAGUAGGCCGGCCCCGGCCCCAGUUUUCAUGAGUGACCCGUCGAAAUACAUUGUCCACAGCUCCGCCUGGACCUGAGUUGGGGGAAGCUGGGAGUCCGUCCAUUCCGCGACGAAGUCUACCAGGGCUUGCGAUUAAAUGGCCUUUCGAGGCGCGUAAGUGAGAGUCUCGCUCAUGAGCUCGACCGACCACUUUGCUAUCCUUCCCGUGGCCUCCUUGCUCCGGAUUAUCUCGCCCAAAGGGAAAGAAGAAACCACCGUGAUAGGAUGACCAAGGAAGUAAUGUUGUAAUUUGCGGCGGGCAAGGAUUACGGCGUAGAUCAGCUUCUGGAUUUGGGGGUAACGCGCCUUGGUCUCUGAAAGCACCUCGCUGACGAAAUAGACUGGCCUUUGGACUGGCAGCGCGUGACCCUCCUCUUGUCUUUCGACCACCACCGCCGCGCUGACAACCUGGGUCGUCGACGCGACGUAGAGGAGCAGCGGUUCCGCAGGUUGAGGUGGAACCAGGACUGGUGCCGAAGUCAGCGUCUUUUUCAGUUUUUCGAGUGCUUCCUCGGCCUCGGGGGUCCAAGAAAAACGCUCGACCUUCUUCAGGAGUCGAUAUAAUGGUAAUGCCCUUUCUCCUAGUCUCGAGAUGAAACGGCUCAGAGCCGCCAGGCACCCCGUGACUCUCUGGACACCCUUGAUGUCUCGGAUUGGCCCCAUUUUCGUGAUGGCCGAGACUUUCUCGGGGUUGGCCUCGAUACCGCGCUGUGAAACAAUGUAUCCUAAGAGCAUGCCUCGAGGCACGCCGAAAACGCACUUCUCGGGAUUAAGCUUGAUCCGGCUGGUGCGUAAGCAGCUGAAGGCAACCUCGAGGUCCUGGAUCAGGUCUCCUCGUUGCUUUGACUUGACGACAAUGUCGUCGACGUAGGCCUCGACCGUUGAGCCUAUAUGUUCGCCAAAUACGUGGAGCAUGCAACGUUGAUACGUGGCUCCCGCGUUUCGAAGCCCAAAUGGCAUGGUCACGUAGCAAUACAUCCCGAAAGGCGUGAUGAAAGAGGUCGCGAGCUGGUCGGACUCUUUCAUUUUUAUUUGGUGAUAACCAGAAUAAGCAUCAAGGAAAGAAAGGGUUUCACAUCCCGCGGUAGAAUCGACAAUCUGAUCAAUGCGUGGUAAUGGAAAGGGAACUUUCGGACAUGCUUUAUUCAAACUAGUAUAAUCGACACACAUCCUCAUUUUCCCAUUCUUUUUCUUAACUAAUACAGGGUUCGCUAACCAGUCAGGAUGAUGAACCUCCUUGAUGAAUCCGGCCGUCAAAAGCUUGUGGACUUCCUCGCCAAUGAUCUUGCGCUUUUCCUCGUCGAAUCGGCGCAACCGCUGCUUCACUGGUUUGGAACCGGCUCGAAUCUCCAAGGAGUGCUCGGCGACUUCCCUUGGUAUGCCCGACAUAUCCGAGGGACUCCAUGCAAACAUAUCAGCAUUCGCACGGAGAAAGUCGACGAGCACGGCUUCCUAUUUGGGGUCGAGGUCGGUGCUGAUCGUCAGCACCUUGCCGUCGGAGUUGUUGGGGUCGAGCGGGAUCUUCUUAGUUCCUUCCGCCGCCUCGAAGCUGCCCGCAUGACGUUUAGGCUCUGGAGCCUCGGCGGCCAUGGCUUCGAGCUUUGCAACGAGAUCGGUGGAGCUCUUGACCGCCUCCCCGUACUCGACGCACUCGACGUCGCACUCGUACGCGUGCUCGAAGGAGGAACUGACGGUGAUGACGCCUUUGGGACCAGGCAUCUUCAGCUUCAAGUAUGUGUAGUUGGGUAUAGCCAUGAACUUGGCGUAGCCCGGGCGCCCGAUGAUGGCGUGGUACGUGCCUCGGAACCCGACCACCUCAAAGGUGAGGGUCUCCUUCCUGAAGUUGGCCGCCGUGCCGAAGCAGACCGGUAGGUCGAUUCGACCUACUGGCAGUGCCUUUUUCCCGGGUACGACGCCAUGGAAACCGCCGGCGCUUGGCUGGAGGCGUCCUCUGUCGAUGCCGAGGAGGUCGAGGGUCUCGAGGUAGAUGAUGUUGAGGCUGCUGCCACCAUCCAUCAGCACUUUCGAUAGUCGGGUGUUGAUGAUGAUGGGGUCGACGACGAGCGGGUAGACGCCUGGGGCGACUACCUUGUCAGGGUGGUCUUCUCGGUCAAAAGUGAUGGGAGUGCUCGACCAGCUAAGGUACUGGGGCACCGCCAUUCUUGCUGUAAAGACUUCGCGACGCUCCCUCUUGCGCUGCCUCGCGGUCAACUGAGUCGAAGGCCCGCCAUAGAUCAUGUAGCAGUCGUGGACGGCGGGGAAACUGUCGUCAUCUUUGUUGUCCUCCUUGCUGCCAGCUUUCUCCUUCUUGGAGUCAUCACGCGCGUCUUUUUUGAACCCCUGACCGUCGAAAUGCUUUCUCAGCAUGCGACAAUCCUUGAGUUUGUGGUUAGCGCCUCCCUUAUGGUAAGGGCACGGCUCCUCCAACAUCUUGUCGAAGAUGCCUCCCUCCGGAGGGCCUCGCGGCUUCUUUCGAUCUAUCGUGGCGACGAGGUCGUCACCCGAAUCUCCCUGGUGGAACUGCCGCAUUUUCUGCUUCUUUUUAUUUUUCUUGAGGCCUCGACCGGAACUCCCAUCUUCAUCGACGGGCUGCUUGCCUUUUCUUCCUUCUGAGCUGAAGAAAGCGCCGACUGCCUCCUCCCCUGCCGCGUAGUUGGCUACUACGUCCAUUAGCUCGUCGACGGUCUGAGGUCGAUUGCGGCCUAAUUCCCGCACCAAGUCUCGACUGGUGGUGCCCGAGACAAACGCCAAGAUGACGUCGUGGUCGGGGAUGUGUGGCAACUCAGUGCGUUGCUUCGAGAAGCGUCGAGCGUACUCCCGAAGAGUCUCUCCUGACUUCUGCUUGCAUUUGCUGAGGUCCCACGAGUUCCCUGGCCGUAUGUAGGUCCCUUUGAAGUUACCCUCGAAGACUCUGACCAGGUCAACCCAGUUGUGAAUCUGAUUGGCUGGGAGUUCCUCGAGCCAUCGACGGGCGGUGUCGGAGAGGAAAAGGGGUAGCUGUCUGAUGAUGGCUCGAUCGUCCCCCCGAGCGCCACCUAGCUGACAAGCCAGCCUGAAAUCGGCCAGCCAUAGCUCUGGCUUGGUUUCUCCAUUGUACUUCGAGAUGCUGGUUGGGGGUCGGAACGGACUAGGCAGGGGCGUGCUGCGAAUCGCCCUGCUGAACACCCGCGGGCCCGGUGGCUCGGGGGCCACCCGGUCCUCGUCGCUGUCGUACCUCCCACCGCGAUGCGCGCUAUAACCACGUUCUUCCGCGUCCCCGUGCCGGCGGCGUCUAUUUUCUUUGACGUCGUGUCGCGCGUCGUGUCGACGUUGAUUGUCGGCAGGGAGGAUGAGAGCGGUCUUUCUACCUCGAGGGGGAGGUUGUUGCUGGACAGACACCUCCUCUUCGAUUAGAGGCUGUUCGUCGCGCUUCUCUGUGGCAGCUCCUCGUCGUCGAGAUGCCGAACUUUCGGCUUGUUGAACUGCUGCCACCUGGAGCAAUGUCUGAACUUCAUCUCGAAUUCGUCGGGCCUGGGAAUUUGAUGGUUCUGGCAUGUUACGUAGCAGCAUCGUCGCUGCCACUACAUUCUGGCCUGCUCGAGGGAAACGGCUGACAGGUUGCUCCGCCUCUGUGUCGCCGACGAUCUGUCGAUGUACCUCUCGAGCGCGUCUUCGGACACUUCCGCCCGGCGGGUAGGGCAGGUCUUGUUCGAGGAUUUGCUCGAGCAGGACGAGGCGCUCGCGAUCUUCGUCGAGCUUCAUCUUGAGCUCCCGCAGCUGCGAGAGCUGCGCAGUUCUAUCUUCCUGAGGAAGGGGGUCAAGCCGUCCGUCGUUCCCAGGCGUCCUGGGGUCUUCUUGCGCCGCGGGGGCUCGACCACCCGCAGCAGCAUCCCGUGCCUCGUUGGUGGUUUCUGCCGCCCCGUCGAGGUGAUAGCAUUCCCUCGUAGGGUCAUAGCUGUCUGUCUCGGAGUCGGAGUCCGGUUCGGCAGCGUGGAAACACCCACGUCCUUCCUCCAGCCAUCGUUGCCUGAGGGAGGUGAUCGAGUAUCGUCCGGGGCCUAGACGGCAGAGGCCUCGUACUCGGGAAAGGUCCGGCAGUUCGGACGUCGACCGCCGCGCUUCAGAGCUACGUGGGAUGACCAUUGGUCUUUCCACGUAUGUCUGAGCGUUUGGGCAUAUCGUUUUGGCGAGCGACGCCGCGGCGUUGUCCAACCCGAACGGCAGUGCCGCCCUUGGGGAGAACAACCCGUGUGGAAGUAGCCUAGCUGCGGUGGGGGAGGGCGCGCGAGACGCGUCUCCCCCCGUCGUCGCGUGGUGCUGAGUCGUCGUGCUUGUUGCUUGGUCACACGGUGUCGCUGCCUUGUGGCCCACAUCCUGCCUUGCGCGAGUUGUUGGUCGCGCUGAAGCAGAGGGGCCGCGGUGGCUGUGCCCGCGCCUCUUCUUAGGCGGGGAGGCGUGGUGGUGAGGGCGUCUUGGAGCCUUCAACCGUGCUGGCGUAACGCGGACUUCUCCUGGUCCUUUGACUGAGAGCAAGAUCAUGUCGUAGCCAGAGCCCGUAGACAUGAACUCGAGACUCCCAAACCAAAUUACCGUGGAGCGCGGAAGCGGCGAGGCAGGAGUAGCCAUCCGGAAAGUGGUGGGAAAUCGGUGAAAAACACGCAGGACCCCUACCUGGCGCGCCAACUGUCGGUGUUUUUCCCCCGGGGGGUCACACCAACGAGUAAAUUUGUAUGCGUGCUCCCCUUUCCGGAUGGUGAUGCAAGAAGACACAGAGAUUUAUCCUGGUUCGGGCAAGAGAAGGCCCUACGUCCAGCGGGGGAGAGAGUUUGUAUUAUCUUGCACCUAAGUGCUCGUACAGGGGCGAAUACAAGCGUGGUAUGAAGUGUGUUGCUCUACUACGUGCGUGUGGGUUCUUGUGUUGUGAUGUCCCUCUCUUCUAUUCCUGAGUCCCUCCUUUUAUAGCUCCAAGGAGAGACACAGGGCACAUGCAUAGAUGUUAGAGUAGGGAUCGAUAGCCGCAUGGGGCGCUGACCUACUCGAGGCUUCCGUACGGCAUGGCCUCGAGCCGUCCCAUCUUGAUAGCUUGGUGAUGAUUACGCGUGCUCCUGUGUUCUGCCUUGCCGGCCGCCUUGUGCUGGUUCUGAGGUCGCACGCUUGUACGGUAUGGUGGCGGACCCGACGGGGUAGCUGUGAUGAAGUCAGUCGACGCCCAACUUGUCCCUAGGAAGGGGACUUGUUUGGCCGAGGGUCUGACGCCGUGUAAUAUGCUGGUAUCUGGAGCGCUGACCUUGGGUGUCUCGAGGGGGUCCCGAUUAGACGUUCCAUCCUCGUUUCCUGUGUCCUGACUCGCCCUGGGUCGUUCGGUGGGAAGGCUGCAAAAAGAACGAUGGGACAGAAGCUUGCUCCCUAUCACGCCUUCCGUGACCUGCGUGUUAGGUGGGGAAGCGUCAGGCGCAUUUAAUGCUCCGGCUCGCGUGCGCGCGUCGGGCGGCGGAUAGUGUCCUCGCGCCCGACACCUCUCGGUUCGCUCGAGCCCGCUUCCGUCAUCGACGGCAGUCGUCGCUCGAGUCCUGAACCGAUUCGUUCGACGCUAUUUCCGUCUUCGAGGCUGCGACCGUCGAUGGCGGCGCAUACGUAAGAUUAGAGCGUCGAAUUAAGGUUCUCGACCUUCGUACGGGCAAUCUCAUAAUGCGCAUCGUUGAGGGUACCCCUUACCGAUGCCCUCGACAGGUAUGAAUGAAAUCUUUAUUCUUCAGUUGCUGAUAGACUUCCUUCUCUCUUCGGGUCUUCAGUCCUAGGUCUCCUAUCUUGAGAAGGACCUUAACUUGCUGACCUGAUGAAGAUGUUGGAGCUUGUGUGGGUGUCGGGUCGACGCUCAUCUCUGAUGGCUGUGAGGAGUGUCGGGCUGAACUCUUUGUUCCAAUGUUCUUGAGAGCCUUCCCUGCAUUCUUCACCUUCUUAAACAUCCUGCAAACAAAAGUUGGCAAAAACACCACUAGUGGAAAAUCUGAGAGAAAAUGUUAGUGGUCAACUGUCCGGAAUGUCAGUAGUCCAGGGGUUAAUCGUUCAAGACAAAUUUCUAUUUUGGUAGAGCCUCCCCCCAAACAACUUUUACUUCCGCUUGGACAGCGGGAUCACUACUUGCUAGGUGACAAACACUCUCUCAAAAGAUCUCCAACCUUCCCUUCCACUCUCCUCUUUCUCUCUACUUUCUUCUCUUCACUACAAGAGCUCCUUCUCGGGAAACUGAAACUUGUGUGGUUUUCUAGAGUGUUUGUGUGAAGAGAAGGGGAGCUGGAGGUGGCCUUUUAUAGGAGGAAGAGGGACAGGGCGGGCGCCCUUGGUAGGUGGGCGGGCGCCCACUUGUGAUGCCCAUCCUGGGUGUGCCUCCUCCACUUGCUUCCUUGCUUUGAUCUUACGCAGAAUAAUAUUGUGUUGGUAGUGGUUGGACGGUGGAAAGAUGCUCGUUAGUGGAGACAUGUUGGUGGAUGAAAUAAUGUGAUGGGAUGUAUGUGAGGUGAAGUGUAUGACAUGUGGGACCCAAGAAGUGUGGGUCAUGCUUCUAGAAGGUUACUAUAAUUAAAUAUAAUGCAGGAAAAUAUAUGAAAAUUGAAACUUAAUUAAAAUGAUUAUGGCAAAUAUUUUUAUGCCUCCACAAUAAUUAAUAAAUAUGGGUUGUUACACACCACGAAUAUUAUUUAUAUGGAGCUUUUUGAUUUAUGCUAUAAAUAAAUAUGACUAAUGCAAGAAUUAAUUAUGCAAGAAUUUAAAUAUGAGAAAAUUAAUAAUACAGAUAAAUACCGACUUACCUCCCGGUGAGGGUUCGGGAUUUUUAGGUCCCCCAAGCUGGACCUCCAAAUCUUUUAAUCUUCUGAGUUACCUUCCUCCGGAGAUGGUGUCUCCAGUGGUUCUUCAUGAACUUCCUUCACUGUAGAGUCUCUCUCUGGUCUGGGUUUGAAUGUGAAGUGUUCUUCUUGACCGUUUAUGUUGAACUUGAUUUCUCCUUUUCCGACAUCAAUGUGGGCAUUGGCAGUGCUCAGAAAUGGCCUUCCAAGGAUGAUGGACACUUUUGAGUCAGGACUCAUGUCCAGUACUACGAAAUCUACUGGCACCAGGAAAUCUUUGAUCUUGACUGGAAUGUUCUCGGCGAUGCCCAACGGGUGUCGAACCGAUUGAUCCGCUAGUUGUAGGCACAUUGAUGUCGGUUCUAAGGUUGCAUGCUCAAGCUUUUUGUAGACUGAUGCUGGCAUCACACUGACACUUGCUCCGAGAUCACAAAGUGCAUUGUUGAAGUGUUGGUUUCCGAUCGAGCAGUCAAUAGUGGGACAUCCGGGAUCUUCCUUCUUCUUUGGUGAUUUGUUGAGGAUGGCCGCACUACAUUCUUCCGUCAGCUUGAUAACCUCAGUGGUGGGCAGUGGUCUCUUCUUGUUAAGAAUAUCUUUGAUGUACUUUGCAUAUGUAGGCACCUGUAUGGCAUCGAGUAGAGGUAUGUUGACAUAUAAUUUCUGAAUGACCUCUACAAACUUACCAAACUGCUCAUCCGACUGCAGUCCUCUGUUUCUUCUAGGAAAUGGCAAAUAGUUAGUGUCGUAAAAAUCUUUCCUCAUUUCUCCAGUUCUUGGUGGUUGUAGCAGAUCUUCUGCUUCAACAGGGCUUUCUUCUUCUAUCACUACUGGUUGUACUGGUGCUGAUGUUCUUUGUUUCUCUUUUGGGUAUGGGGGAUCUCUGGUUGCUUUGCCUCCUCUAGUAGUUAUAUUCUUUACCUGCCCAAGGUUAGUAGUAAAAGGCAGUGCAGCAGCUAUCUUUAUUAAUUUAAGCUUUACCCUUUUAUUAAGAGUGUUUUGCAAAUCAAAGGCAGUUAGUAGAAAAUCCAUUUUAUUGUGUAUAUCUUUUAGAGAUGAUUCAUUUGUAUCUAGCCUUUGUUUAACUUCAUCAUUAAUUUUGGUUUGUUGAGCAAUUAUCUCUUUUAAUUAAAGUUGCUUGAAAGUAUUACAUGAAUUCAUACCUUUGCUAUUGGGUUGACUUGAAGUUGGUUGAUAUUUGUAUGUUGUCUUGAUGGCCCUUUGAUCUUCUUUGAACUUGGCCCUCUGGUCAAUCCAAUGGAGCAAAUUUUCCAUCUUAGUUGAUAAUGCAUUUACUUCUUCUGGUAUUUCUUCAGUUUGAUGACAUUGUUGAGCUUUAUCUUGGAACCAGCUUUGGUUUUCUGCUAUCUUGUCCAAAAGUAUCUCUGCUUUUCCAAUUGUAAGCUCCAAAAAUGAUCCUUUAGCAGAUGCAUCUAGGCACUCACGAGUCUUCUGGGUUAAUCCAUGGUAGAAGGUCUGCAUAAGUAACCAUGUGGCCAUUCCAUGGUGAGGACAAUCUGAUAUGUAUCCUUGAAAACGCUCCCAUGCUUCUGAAAUGGCUUCUAUCUUCUGCUGUUGGAAACUGACAAUAUUUCCUCUUAAGGCAGUUGUUUUGCCUAUAGGGAAAAACUUUGAUAGAAAGGCAUCUGACAAGUUCGUCCAGUUGUUAUGUUAUCUUGAUGAGUGUAGAACCACUUCCUCGCUUUCCCUUCUAGUGAGAAUGGAAAAAGGCGAAGUAGUAUGACGUCUUUGUCAACUCCGUUGAUGUGGAUUGUGCUUCCAAUCUCUAAGAAAUUCUGCAAGUGUGCACUAGCAUCUUCAUGUGCCUUUCCACUGAAUUGUGUAGCUUGCACCAAAUUGAUGAGGCUUGACUUCAGCUCAAACUCGGGUGCUCCUUCUUCUACUGCAAAUCUUGGACCAGUUGGAAUGUUCUCAAGGCUUGGAGCAGAGAAUUCUUGCAAGGUCUUUUGUGCCAUAGCUUCAGCAAUUGGUAGCUAGCUUCUUCUUCUCUUGAUUGCUUUGGUUCUGAUGAUGAAGAGUUGAAUGUACCCAAAGUAAAUCCUGAUAUACCCUGUAUAAAAAUAUAAACAUAGAAAAACAACAGGGUGAACCUACCAAAGCAGAGGUGCCUUGUUAUGAUUUCUCACUUAGUAGCUGUUUUUAUGCAAUUAUUUCUCUAUAGUCUAGUCUAAUAUUUUAUAUGAAUAACCUUGAUUGAUUUUCUGGCUUCCCUUACCGUUCCUCUUUAUGACUUAUUCAUGAGACGUCCCCGGCAACGGCGCCAGAAAUGCUUGUUGACACUAGCUAACACCACUUAGAUACUAGGUUGUCAUCCCCAGCAUGGUGCCAGAGUGUACAAAGGUAUUUAUAAAUGUAAAGGCUCUCUAGAAAAUAAUCUAUUCUAUCCGCAAGCGCACAGAUAAAACACCUCAUUGUAGCAUUUCACCAGGAUAAGUAUUCCAGGUAUCGUUAUUUAUAAUUUUGCUCAAGGGAUCAAAUUAAAGUAAAGGGGGCAAAAUCUAUCAAGGCAUGGACUAGAGAUAAACUUGCAAGAACAUGAUUACUAAUGAGAAACUCGUCACACAGUCACUUACUUUAGCAGGGGGUAAACCAUAAAGAUAAUGAUAAUAAAGUAUAAGUUCAUGUGUAGAUAACACAGCGAUUAGAAAAUAGACUACUCCUCAUAUAUGUAGGUGAUGUCGGAUUAGCUAGAGAAUGGAUUGUAAGUUAUCUACUAACUACUAAGUCAUAAUCUACUCUAGUUAUCUACAAGAUCAUAUAUAGCAUAAAGACUCUUCAUUCAUGUAUAAGGAAAAUUGAUAAACUAAAUCAGAGCAUCGCAUGACUUACUCCACAAUACCGGUUCUGCCUGUCCUAUCAACGGAGGGUGGACUAUAUAAGAAUCAACGAAGCUGUCACUAUCGCGAACAACCACACGACCCGGCCAAUAGGAUACAUUUGCAGAUAAAUAACAUCUAAGCACCACGCUCACAUGUGAUCUAUCACCUAACUCCCUCGCGUCAAGAGCUAAGCGCUUUGCAAACUUAUACAUAAACUCAUUAUCAAUUAGAACUAUAUCAAAUAUAGAACUAGAACAAACUAAGAACAUAAUAAUUAGAGACAUAAUGCAAUUAGAACAAAGAAUUAGAGAAAGAUAUGAAUAAUACCAAUCUUUAUUACCGAAGAUCCGAAUCCAGAGCGUAGUGCUCUACUUCUCUAAUUGCUAUCUAAUCAAACCUCUAAACUUGAAGGAUUAGGGAGUAGCUAAUUCUAAUUCUCAGUGGGAGAGAAGCUCUAAACCCUAACUUUGAUGGCUACCUCCGAAUAAUGAUUUCUUCUCUUCUCCUCCAGGGGCCAGGGGGUCUGGUUUUAUAGUCCCCUCAAGUGAACGUGAGCCAUUGGAUCAAACCGACAUAGAUUGUAUGGUUUAGAUUGAUCCUUUACGUCGGUGGAGCGUAGUCCCGAAGCAGAGUCCUGAUCCAGCUCCAACCCUGGGCGGGCGCCCAAGGGGGGUGGGCGGGCGCCCUGCCCCCGAGCCCGAUUCCCUUCUCGUUCGUUCCCGUGGCUUCUGGAUUCUUCUAGGUUGAGGAAAAUUGCGCGGCACGUAAUUAUCUUAUUGUAAACAUGACAUGUGGGCCUUCUCUCCAUAUUCUCUGAUAACCCCCUGCAGAAAUAGAUAAACACCAAAGCUCGUGGAAUUCUGUCAGAUAAAACCCUAAUUCUAGAUGUUUGUUUCAUAUUGAUCCUUUUUCAUGUUUAUUUGAUUAUUAAUUUUAGUACUUAAGGACCGUCAACAUGCCCAUCCGUCCUUGAUGAUUUGCCUCCUCUAGUUGUGGUUGCGUCGUCUUCUUCUUGUCCUGACCUGCUUAGAGUCUUCAACUAUAUAGUUAAGGUUAGUAAAAUAGCGGCGUACCUUCUUAGAGGGGAAGUGCAUGUGGACUUCUCCGGUUCCAAUAUAGAUGAUGGCUUUGAUAGUGUUGAGGAACGGUCUCCCAAGGAUGAUGGGCGGAUCGUACUCGUCUUCUCCCAUAUCAAUAACCUGAAAAUCAUCUGGAGCUGAAUGUAUGUUGGUUGUAGGGGCAUGGUUCCAUGCAGGAGCUAAUAAGUGACUGCGGCCACUAUGUUGACGUCAGAUCCGGUGUCGUAGAGUGUUUUGUGAAAAGAGUAUCCGUUGAUUGUGCACUAGAUGCUUGGAAUACCAGGGUCGUCCUUUUUUUGGUCAGGAACGGUGACUUAAGUCGACGAUCUUGACUUCCAUGAAUUGCAGUGACCAUCUUAGCUGACUCGGUCCACAUUUGCUUGUUCCUGUUCCUCUUGUUGGUCCUCUUCCUUGGUUCAUGUCGAGAUUACUCUGAGAUUUGUGUAGUCUUGUUCUUGAAGGAAAACGUCUCCUUCCUCUCCUUGUUGUAGAGACUAAUCUUGGCAGUACUGGGGCGUACAAGGUACCAACUCGGAUGCAAAGGUUCUUCAAUAUUCCCUUUUGGGAAACUUAGUGUCCGAUCUGCAAGCCUUGGCAUAAUGUUGACGCUAGAGCCAAAGUCGCAGAGUGCUUCUAGGAUGUCCACCAUGCUGAUGGAGAUCGGGAUGCGGGGCAUCCUGUAUCGCCUCUCUGAGUAGUUAGGCCUGUGUUGAUUUCAACCUUGAUUUUGUUGAGGACAGUUGUAGUAGUAGUUGUUGUUGUCGUUGUAAUUUACGUCCUCAAGCAUCUCAGGGCAGUGAUUGCCUGAGUGUCCAGUAUCUCCAGUGUGUUUGUGCUCGUAGAUCUAGGUCCUUCACUUGGAAGAAUCUGGGAGUUGUAAAACUCCUUCAAGUUUUGCUCGAAGUGUACCUACUCAUAAAGACAAGGCCGAGAUCAAGUGCAUGGGCCCUGUUGGUGAAAAACACCAACAGAACCAAAAGUGUAUUUGUUCUUCUCUAACCUUAAGCAUAGAGAGCAAGACAAAGUUGAUGGAUAAUAAAAUUAUGAGUGUAGCAUUUAAAACAUUUGUCAGAUCAGAUGGCUCAACCUAAUGGAGAGAUAAUCUAUCUAUAUUUAUGUUUUGCUUAUAUCUUCCAAAGAUUGAAUGUGCAACAUUUUAGCUUAUAUGAUUAGGGGUGUAGGAUCAUGGAGGUAGUACUAGGAACAAAGAUUAACGGACUAAACAUGCUGAAUCAGUUGGGUUGGUUAAUUUGGAGUUAUAAAUCAUACAUGUUUGUCUCUUGAUUUGAUGUGAACGCCAGAACCAAGGAGAAGCUUAUAAAAGCGAUAGUCAAGUACCUUAAGAUGUUACCUUACUUGAAGAGUGAUGGUACAGUAUCACCUUGUGGAAGCUUGCCUUUCUUAGCGGUUAUGCAUCGUGUUUGUGGCACUCUUUGUAUCUCUCUAUGAUGAAUGCGCUAAGUCCUUCCAAGUGCAAAUCGUUAAACUUCAGAUGUUUCCUUUAUCUCCAAUGUGAGUUUGUAUCUCAGGACUUCCCAGGUUGAUAUUGAAAGUUUUCCUGCAGGGGUUAGUCCGACAAAAUAUACCAAUGUCUACACAAGUAGUUUUUAGUUCAACAACCAAACUAGACUCCAUGUCUAAUCAGAUUAAGGAAGGCUAUUUAACCUAAGCACCAUGCUUAAUUUAAAUGCCAAUGGAACUAUGUCCAGUACUUCCAAACUAACACUUACUAGGAUAAACAAAGGUAGCGUGACGGCUUUUAUAGAGAUCUACUCAAGUGGAGAUGAAGUAGUGUGACUAGAAUUUAACAAAUCAAGCAUGUCUCAAAGGUAGGGACAACCAACGUAGCAACUUGGCAAAGGAUGUUUUCAUGUGAAGUACUCCCCAAGCUUGAAUUUUGCAAAAUUCAAGUUUGGAUGAAAUUAAUUCAAUGUUGCAUGAUGAUUGGUUGGACAUACCUUGCGCUUGUCAUUCCUCCGAUCUUCUUGCUCCAAUCCUGGAAAGGUUAGUGACAAGAAUACCCAAAGGAAUAUUUCUACCAUUAUCUUUAUAUGCUCAAUACACAAGGUAAUGUUGCAAGUAAUUAGAAGUUCAUGUUACGAUCUGAUAAGUGCUUGUUUUAGGAAACUAAGCUUGUUCUUGGGAAACCAUCAAUUUAUGUCGGCGAAGUGGUUCCCCUCCAACGCUGACCUAUAUCAAGAUCAACUCAAUGAGAUCUGCAAUAUUUAUUAUAGACAUAUGCAUCGACAACCGCCCUUUUAAAGUUUUUAUAAAUAAAAAGAAAGAGGGGGUUGGAGAUCUCAAAUGUGGUAAGGUUAGAGAGACCAAUAUAUUGGGAAGGUGUUGCAUAUGAGCAUGGAGUAAAUGAAGUGGCUAUGAAAUAAAUUCCAUGCUCAUUAAUGUUAUCUUCGUCUCCAAUCUGAAUGUUCGGAGUUUCUCCUAGACUGGUGUCGCCUAUGUCCUCUUCUGUAGUUGGAUGAAUCUCAUCUUCAAAGGGAGUCGAAAACUCACCAUUUGAAAUUGAGCCAAAGCCAGAAUCCAUUAAGGCUUUUUCCUUGUCCAUCCAUUUAAUGGUGAUAGCACAUGGAUUUUUAAUGCCCUCUAGCCAUUGAUGUUGCUCUUCUCGAUCAUCCUUGUGGUCCUGGUGACUCUUAUGCAUGGGAUGUCUAGAGAGAUUCAUAGGAUUAUUGGGAGGUUCAAGAUAAAGAGCAUAGUAGAAAUUAUUAAGCUCAAGGAUGGGUUGGAUAGACGAAUCAUGGGAUUUAAAUGUUUGGAAAUCGGCUAUUGAAACUUCCUUUCCUCGUGUGGGAGAUGAUUCCUUCUCUAUCUAUAGGAUUUUUUUAUGAAGAGUAGUGCAAGAAGGAUGUCCACGAAUGAAGACAUAACUUGCUUUACUAACAGAUAAAGAAAGAAAAACUCUACCAAAGGUUAUAUGAUUAAGACCAAUGUGAAAAUAUAGAGAAAAAAUAUGGUCUUGUAGGGCUAGGUUUAAACCAGAAUGUAUCGAAAGAUUAAAAGAUUUCCUAGGUGUAGCUAAAAGUUCAUUAUCUUCUUGAUUAAAAGAUAGGACCUCGGCUAUAGGAAAGGGUUGGUUUUGACCUAUUGCAAUCAACUCCGGACACAGAUCAUAAUUAGGGGCAAAGAAAGGACUUGUUGACUCCCAUGGUCUAUGGCUGGUCUCCGAAGGUGCAAAGAAUUCAAUAAUAGGUGUGGAAUUUGAGUUAUCCAUAAAGAUGGAAAAAUAAAAAGAUAAAAGAAUAAAAGUAUAAAAGUAUAAUACAAGAUAAUAACAAGACUUAAAGUUAUCUCAGCAAACCGUCUUUCUCCCCGGCAAUGGCGCCAGAAAUGCUUGUUGAUAUAUGGUAACGCCAUGAGGAAAUAAUCCGCAAGCGCACGUAUAUCGGUGAGCACAUCACCCGGGAGGUUAUCUAGAGUAUCGUAUUUAUAUUUUUACCACUGGGAGAAAGCGUGCAUCUUACUAACCAAAUCUAUUGCUACUACCCUUUAGGCUACAAAGAAUGUGAUUCGAUGUGAGCGAUGUAUAGAGAAGACUACAACCGUAGUCUCGUUCUAACCUUGGUAACGAUGAUCUAUUGUUCUAUUGGAGAGGCUCAUGGAAUCUAUACACCACAGAGGAUGUUCGACCCGUAGCUAUAAACGCUAUCCAUCCUGCUAACAAGAUGUGGGCUGCAAAGGUAACUCAAAAAUGUCAUGUUCCUCGCUACUACCACGGUCCAGCUAGUCAGGGGAUAUCUAUGCACAAACACCACAUUUACGCUAGCAAUGAUUACUCUAAACUCAACGGGAAGAGAUUAAAGUAAACUCAUAAACCAAAGAACAGUAAAACAAAAACUUACUAGAAUUUAGAAGUCAAAUUACUGAAGAAUCCAAGGAGCAAGCCUCGGGUUAGGAGAACUUGAUCCCGUAGGUACAACCUCGGAGUAGACACCGACAGGCCGGGUUUCCUCCGAUCUACACCUCCACUCUAUCUCUCUCAAUCUAGUAGAACUUAGAAGAACUAAUUCUACUCUCACAUUGGAUGCUAAGCCCUAAGUCUAUGUAGAGGAAAGGUUAUCCUUCGAGGGCACCUCUUAACUCUAUGAUGAACUUGUUCUCCUCCAGGGGCCAGGGGCCUUGCUUAUAUAGUUCUCCUCCUUUGUGCCUUUUUGGUUCAGCAGGUGAUGUGGUACUAAACUUUCCACCAUAUCUCAUUAAAAUGCACAUGGGCCUUAAUGGACCAAAAUCUGAUUUGGGCCCAAUUAAUCCCGGAGCUCUUUUAUGUGGAGUCCUUCUUUUUAUUAAUAUCUCUUGAUUCCGAACUCCAAAUAUAGCAAAUAAUAUAUGCAUUUCGAUCAGCUCGACGAGAUCUUUGUAAUGGUGUACUCCAUUCUGUGAUUGGUGCUUGUACCAGGGUGGGUGCCGAAGGGGGAGGGCGGGCGCCCUGCCCCCAGGCCCGUUCGGCCUCCCGUUCGUUCCCGUGGCUUCUGGAGUCUUCUAGAUGAUAGAAAAUUGCGCGGCACAUUAAUAUCUCUAUGUAAACCCGACAUGUGGGCCUUUCCUCCAUAUUUCCUGAUAACCCCUGCAGAAAUAGACAAACACCAAAACUCGUGGAAUUCUGUCAGUUAAAACCCUAAGUCUGGGUGUUGGUUGCAUUUGGAUCCUUUUCUUUAUUUAUUUGAUGAUUAUAUUUGGUACUUAAGGACCGUCAACAGGGGAUUUCUUCAAUGGUGGUAUAGUGCACCCGGCCGGUAUGGUUAUUAACCCUAGCUGCAGAAUUCCUCUUGGGAUAAGGGCAAUCCCUCGUGCAAUGACCAACUUGUUUGCAAUUGAAGCAUGGACAGUUAUCAGGGGGAGUCUUAGGAACUCCUUGACCCGUAGCACCCCUAGGAAGAGCGACUGUGAAGGUCUUGUGAACUCCCGUCUUCACAUUUGACUUCUUCUACGGCGGUCUAUACCUUGUCACAGUAUUGGGUGGGCGAUAGGCAGGUUUACUUGUCACUGGAGCCUUGGACUGCGAAGCACCUGCUUCAUAAGCCCUCUUGCGGUUUUUAGAUGCAGCAUAAACAGCAUUGGAGUUCUCCUGGGUCAACGCAUCACUCAAAAACUCAUUGAAGGUGGUACUCUUGUUACCAGCCAUGUUCUUGGACAGCUUGGGACCGAGUCCUCUCUUGAAACUAGCAAGCUUUUUGACCUCAGUGUCAACAAAUUCAGGAGCAUAGCGAGAAAAGUUAUUGAACACAUGAAGAUACUCAGUCAAACUUUUAGUGCCCUGAGUCAGGUUUAUGAACUCGGUAUGCUUGAUAGUCAUUAAGCCUUGCGAAAUAUAAGUGUUCCUAAAAGCAGUUUUGAACUGAUCCCAGGUUACAACAGCAUUGGCAGGCAAGCUGUUUCUAUAAUGGCUGCACUAGACACGUGCUUUGCCGUCCAGCUGGUGUGCUGCAUAGUCCGCCUUUAACUCUUCAGUCACCCUUAGCAAGCGGAACUUCUACUCGAGAGUGUUAAGCCAUUCGUCAGCUUCCAGAGGUUCAACGGCCUCCUUGAAAAGCGGUAGCUUUGUGUCCUGGAAGUCCUUGAAAUUACUGUGCUGAUUUGCCUCUCCGCCUUGGCGAGCAUGGUGACCACCCCGGUUCUGCUGUGCCAUAGUCUGCAUAGCUUCAUUUAGCAUCCGCUGGCCCGCAACAAGAGUCGCUAGGAGCUCAACAGGCGUAGGCGGGGGAGGAGGUGGUGGUGGCGGCACCUCAUUGUGACCGGAGCGAGUAUUGCGCACAAGGCAUACCAAGUGACCGUUUAGGAUAACAGAUAUAAUUGCCAUGAAUUUCGAUUGCUGCCAAUACGGAAUUUAAUGAAAUAAAUUCACAUAAUACAAGGCACAAUAAUCCAUGUACGCAAAGGAAUGUCAUCCAUGACACUGGUUAUUCUCGCGAUCAUUCAUGGCCACAUUACACACAGAUUCAAGACAUUGCUGGAAAUUUAUUUAAGCUCAACAUAAAUAUGGAGCAUCACAAACAGGUGCAUAAGGUUACACAGAGUCAUUGUCACUGCUUAAAUCUUACAGGAAGGGCACCAUGGCCAAAUACAUAGAGUCUCACUAGAAUUUCAGACUACAUGUCCAUUACAUAAAGAUAUGGAAACUGAUACAUAAGCAUGGAAACCAUCGCAAGGCUAAAUAUCUUCCUCGGAUUCUCCAUUAGAAAUUAUGCCAUCAUCCUGAUCUUCCUCACUAGGGGCCUCUUCAUGAUUAAUGGGAUGUAAUACCCGAUUUUAAGGACAAAAUCAGAUACGCACCAUAUGUGAGUUUUAGAAGUCAAAUCCAACUACUUAUUUCAUUAAUCCUUAUGCCUUAGACCUAUGAACUAAUGAAAUUGUGAGGAAAUCCCACAAGAUCAUUGCACUCAUUACAAAGAUCUAAAUCAAGCAUAAGCAUAAUAGCAAACCAACUAAGCAUUGAAGGUUCACACUUCACUCAACUUGCGAUACUAUCAUUCUCUUCUUGUUAAUGAUAAAGAUCCUAAAACUCCUAUUUCAAUGACGCCAGAAGGUGGUAAGAAAAGUUCUAAAAGCAUAUCAAGCAAGGAGUGGGGAUGAGAACAAGUCUUUAAAAUAAGCAACAAGGUGAAGAUGAAUAGCAAUGAAAAGGAUAUAGUAUAGAGGAAAAUAUCAAAGUUUAUAGAACAAGGAUUUUAUAGCAAUUUGAAAACCUUAAGACGGCCAAUUUCUAUCUAGGCUUGUGUCCUAUAGUCAGCAUUGCUUUGAUACCACUUUGUAAUACCCAAUUUUAAGGACAAAAUUAGCUACACACCAUAUGUGAGUUUUAGAAGUCAAAUCCCACAUAUAGCUACAAAUAAUGGGUAAUAUCAAAAGACAAUGCAUAAAUAUAUAACGUACUUAAUAUAAAAGAGAUAACCUUGAUAGCAAACAGCGGAUAGACAACUCUGAACAUCGGGUAUUAACUUCUCUCUACAGGAUUCAACUGACUGGUUGAUCACAAGCCUAACACUUCUCCUGAAGUAUGGUGGAAAUAGCAAGAGUGAGUCCAUGUCAAACUCCACAAGUAUAGCAACUAGAUUGUAUAGCUCCCACAAUCUCAUGAUCAAUGUGACAUAAAUAAUGUAAAGCAUUAAAUAAUAAACAAUGAGCAUAUUUAACACACAAGAAUCAUCACCCUUAAUGUAGAUGUCCCCAAGGCCGCUCCUGACCGUGAGCUCGGCUAGUAUACUAGUUUUUAACACUCUGCAGAGGUUGCACAUGUUUACCCAUGAGUCAUGAUUUACCCUUUCGCCCAAGGUAGCUAAUCUCUUAACCCCCUUCCAAGGGAGGUCGGCAGGGAUCACUAUGAAGUCUUUCAAAGGUUCGUCUAACAAGUUAGGGCCGCUUGGUUUCAUUAGUCAGUCCGUGUGAUUCACCCGCACGAAUCCACGGUCUGCUAUUCCCCAAUUGCGCCACACGGGUAACCGCUAACGAGCUAGAAAAGUUACUCAUACUUAACUAAAGCCAGAGCCAUUAUAGCCCUCAUGGUUGCACUGUUGUCUCGAGUGAUCAUGUACAGACAAAUCAUCAAGUUACUAAAAAGUCAUUUUAUCAUUUAUUACUUAACAUUAAUCUAGUCACAGGAUCAUGGUCACAGAAAUAAAAUCCAAAUGCUAUACUUGCCUCGAUCCAAUUGCUCUUGCUGAUCCUUUUGGUUCUGCUGGUCUUACUUGUUGCUAAGGCUCUGAUCUUGAUCACUGAAGUAUUGCUCACCGUCUAAACUCGAUCAUCGAUCACACAAACAAUCAAAGACAACAUACACGAAGCAAACAUGGCUAUAUUUAGAACAGUACACCAAUCACAUAAAAACAAAAUGAAAAGUUUAUAAAAUGAUUCUACGCAUCGCUACGAUUUCAUAGACGUAAAGAUCGUGAAAAUCAGAAUUAAAACGGAAAAGAUAUGGAUUUUCUAAGAUUUUAUAUAGAAAAGUAAUUAAUUAAUUAAGGUCACGAAAUUAAAAAGUUUCAAACUGGUGAAUUAAGUUUACUAACAUGUAGAGCUCAUUAAUUCGAAUCCAACGCAAUUGGAAUGGGUCAAAACGGAGUUAAGAUGAAUAUUUUAUGAGUAAAACAAAUCCAGUGACAAUUUGGUAAUUACUGAAAACGUAUUUUCAAUUCAAACCGAGGCUUUUACGUUUUCAAAAGAACAAAGCUGUCGGUGUUUCCCCCCGUGGGGUCACACCAACGAGUAAAACUUGUGUGUGCGUGCUCCCCUUUCUAGAUGGUGAUGCAAGAAAAGACACAAAGAUUUAUCCUCGUUCGGGCAAGAGAAGGCCCUACGUCCAGCGGGGGGGAGUGUUUGUAUUAUCUUGCACCUAAGUGCUUGUACAGAGGUGAAUACAGGCGUGGUAUGAACUGAGAUGGAGUAAGGUUGCUCUACUACGUAUGUCUUGUGUUGUCUUGUGUAUCCGCUCCUGGGCUUCCCCUUUUAUAGUUCCAAGGGGAGGCCUAGGUUACAUGUAUAGGCGACUGAGUAGGGAUCGAUAGGGGUGCGGCGCGCUGACCAACUCGAGGCCUCCGUAUCGGCGUGGCCUCGAGCCAUCUUGUCUUGGUACCUUAACGAUGAUUAUGCAUGCCCCUGAAUCCCGCUGCUAUGCGCCGUCCUAGACUGGUUUAUCUGUUGCACGGUUGUACGUCGUAGUAGCAGCUACGUCGGAGUGGUUGAGGUGCUGUCAUUCGUCGCCCGAUCCUUCCCUAGGAAGGAAACAUACCUACUAGAGGGUCAGGUGCCAUGUAACGUCUCACUGGCUUGAGCGCUGACUUUGGGCGUCUCGAGGGGGGUCUUGACAGGACGUUCCGACCCACUCCAAGCGCCCUGCCACGUUCUGGCUUAUUUGGUGGGGAAGGCUGCAAAAAGAACGACAGGACGGGUGCUUGUUCCCUAUCACGCUUCCCGUGACUGACGGGUUAGGUGAGAACGCAGCAGGCACAUUAAAUGCUCUGGUUCCCGUACCCGCGUCAGGCGGUGGGCGGCGUCCUUGCGCUCGAGUCCUUUUGAUUCGUACGAGCUUGUUUCCGUAUUCGAGGGUCGUCCGUAGUCGAGCCUCAAAUGAUUCGCACGACGCUCUUUCCGUGUUCGAGGCUACGGUCGUCGAGGAUCGUGCGUAUGACAGGGCGUGGAGGCGUCGAGUUGGAGGCCUUGAUUUUCGUACGGAUACUCUCGCUAUGUACAUCAGUUUGGGUACCCCUUACUGAUAUCCUCGACAGUAGCCCUCGAGUCUCUAUUCGAGCGCUUGCGCUCGGGUGGACGCUCUUUUUUUGUGGUGGAGUUUCCGUGGGGGCGCGCGAGCGACCCCGCGGGGGUAGCCCCCGAACCCAUGGAGGAAUUUUUGACUCCUUCGAGGGUUAUACUGCCCAAUCUGCAGAAGCGCUCUCGAUGUCCAUUUUGGAAGGCGAGCUGAAGGCCUUGACUGGUUUAUUUCAUACGGGGGUCACGACGUACUCCCGGUGGAGCGAGCGUCACCUACCCGAGAUUGAGUUCCUAGCGGGUAAUCCAAGUGAGAACCCGUGCCCCGUUCGAUGAGGUCGGCUGUAGCCCGGAGGCGUUCUCAUAAAGCGGGGUCGACCUGGUCGGGGUUACUGGUCUCGUUCGAUAGAGUCCAGCGGCUCGAUGCCUCCCCUCGGGGGGAUUCCUCUCGACAUCUCGUCCUCGCCUUGGACAUCCCCAGCGAGUCCUCGAGGUGGGCCUCGUUUUUCGACCGCUCGCUGGGCAUCCCUGACUCGGGUACUCGAGAUCGGCUAUCGAACCCGUUCGGCGGGUCAGCCUGCAACCUCUCGAGGUUCUUGUGAAUACGUACCUUGGCUUACAGGGGAAGGAGAAGAUCGCGGCGGUUCGCCUUUUUGCCCGUUGGGCGCGCCUUUUCAGGCGGGAGCCGUUGCGACACUAUACCGGCGUGGAAUCGUAGCGUCCUGUCUGUGAGAGAGAUAAGGACCGCUAGGCGGCGCAUUUAUUGGAGGAGUUACCGUAUCCGUCGGAUCCGUCCGUUGGUGGGUUGCUGUCUAUAAAUGCCCUGUGGUCUUCCAGCCGUCGCUCCUUCUGCCUUCUGCCCCUGUUCUUGCCUUUGCUUCCUUGCCAUCUCACGCGCGUGUACCCUUGAGCAGUAGUGAAGUCACCCUUCUCCCACCUGAAAAUGCCGGUGAUACUCAUCGCCGCCGAUGACUGGCUCCCGUCGCCGAUGACAGAGCGCCGGCUGUUGGAGCUCGAGAGGGAGGGACUCCUUCGCCCUCGCACUUCGUCGUCGUGGCCAGAGUGGAUCGCGCCGGCGCCGGAUCACCGGGAGCCAAGUUCCACCACCAUGGCUUGGGUUCUCCUCUGAGUCGUUUCAUGCGGGCGCUCUGCCACCACUAUGGGAUGGAGCUCCAGCAUUUUUCGCCGAACGCCGUCACCGCCGCGGCGGUUUUUGCCGCGGUGUGUGAGGGCUACCUGGGGAUGAUGCCUCACUGGGAUUUGUGGCUCCACUUGUACCGGGGCGAGCUCUUCAACGCCCCCAGUGGAACCAUAGGGGUUAGGAAGCCGGUACAGGCCGGGUGCCUCAACCUGGUGCUCAAGACUGGCAAGUCGGAGAGGCCGCGCGAGUACAUCCCGGUGGGGUUGACGUCGAACCGUGCCGGAUGGGACUCCCAGUGGUUUUACUUACGGAACGACGACGACCUCUUCCCCGCCUACACCCGGCGCUUGAUCUCGGAGCGCCCGGACCACUAGAGGUACGGCGUUGUCCAAGCCCACCAGCCGCGGCCCGACCCCAUUCUCGACGCCCUGAAGAAGCUGCGUGAGGAGGGCUUGACGGCCGGACUCGUUCUUUCUGCCGUACAUCACCGACAAGUGCUCCCGUGGAUGUCUCGGCAACGUACAGAAGCAGAGGUUCUGCGGGUUGAGGUGGGACCAGGACCGUGGCAGAGGUCAGUGUUUUCUUCAAGUUAUCGAGGGCUUCCUCGGCUUCGGUGGUCUAGGAGAAACGCCCGGCUUUUUUCAAGAGCCGAUACAAUGGCAAUGCCUUUUCUCCCAACCUCGAGAUAAAAUGACUCAGUGCCGCCAAACAUCCUGUGACCUUCUGCACUCCCUUGACGUCUCGGAUUGACCCCAUUCUUGUGAUGGCCGAGACUUUAUCAGGAUUAUCCUCGAUGCCGCGUUCGGAGACUAUGUAUCCCAGGAGCAUGCCUCAGAGUACACUGAAGGCGAUCUCGAGGUCCUGAAUCAGGUCUCCCCAUUUCUUUGACUUGACGACUAUAUUGUCGACGUAUGCCUCGACCAUCGACCCUAUAUGUUUGCCAAACACGUGGAGCAUGCAUCGCUGGUAUGUUGCUCCCGCGUUUCGAAGCCCGAACGGCAUGGUUACAUAACAGUACAUCCCAAAAGGCGUGAUGAAAGAUGUCGCGAGCUGGUCAGACUCUUUCAUUUUUAUUUGAUGGUAACCAGAAUAUGCAUCAAGGAAAGAAAGGGUUUCACAUCCCGCAAUAGAAUCAACAAUUUGAUCGAUACGUGGUAAUGGAAAAGGAACUUUCGGACAUGCUUUAUUUAAACUUGUAUAAUCGACACACAUCCUCAUUUUCCCAUUCUUUUUCUUAACUAGUACAGGGUUUGCUAACCAGUCGGGAUGGUGAACCUCCUUGAUGAAUCCGGCCAUCAAAAGCUUGUGGAUCUCCUCACCAAUGGUCUUGCAUUUCUCCUCGUCGAAGCGACGCAACCGUUGUUUCACUUGCUUGGAGCCGGCUCGAAUUUCCAAGGAGUGCUCGGCGACUUCCCUCGGUAUACCCAACAUGUCCGAGGGACUCCAUGCAAACAUGUCAGCGUUCGCACAGAGAAAGUGGACGAGCACGGCUUCCUAUUUGGGGUCGAGGUCGGCGCUGAUUGUCAGCACCUUGCCAUUGGAGUUGUCGGGGUCAAGCAGGAUCUUCUUCGUUCCUUCUGCCGGCUCGAAGCUGCCCGCGUGGCGCUUGGGCUCUGGAGCCUCUGUGGCCAGGGCUUCGAGCUUCGAUGUGAGCUCGGUGGAGCUCUCGACAGCUUCCCCAUACUCGACGCACUCUUCGUCGCACUCGUACGCGUGCUCGUAGGAGGAGCUGACGGUGAUGACGCCCUUGGGUCUGGGCAUCUUCACCUUCAGGUAGGUGUAGUUGGGGAUAGCCAUAAACUUGGCAUAGCCCGGGCGCCCGAUGAUGGCGUGGUACGUGCCUCAGAAUCCCACCACCUCGAAGGUGAGGGUCUCCUUCCUGAAAUUGGCCGCCAUGCCAAAGCAGACCGGCAGGUCGAUUCGACGUACCGGCAGCGCCUUCUUUCCUGGUACGACACCAUGGAAUCCGCCGGCGCUUGGUUGGAGCUGCGCCCUGUUGAUGCCGAGAAGGUCGAGGGUCUCAAGGUAGAUGAUAUUCAGGCUGCUGUCGCCAUCCAUCAGCACCUUUGAGAGUCUGGUGUUGAUGAUGAUGGGGUCGACGAUGAGCGGGUAGACGCCAGGGGCGAGUACCUUGUCGGGGUGGUCGUCUUGAUCGAAGGUGAUGGGGGUGUUUGACCAGCUGAGGUACUAGAGCACUGCCAUCCUUGCCCAAAGACCUCACGACGCUCCCUCUUGUGUUGCCUUGCGGUUAGCUGCGUCGAGAUUCCACCGUAGAUCAUGUAGCAGUCGUGGACGCCCGGAAAACCAUUAUCGUCUUUGUUGCCCCCCUUGUCGCCGUUCUUCUCUUUCUUCUAGUCGUCCUUCUUGAACCCCACGCCGUCGAAGUGCUUCUUCAGCAUACGGCAGUCCUCGAGCUUGUGGUUUGCCCCUCCCUUAUGGUAAGGGCAGGGCUCCUUUACCAUUUUGUCGACGAUAGCCCCCUCUGGGGGUCCUCGAGGCCUUUUGCGCUCCAUGGCGGCGACGAGAUCGUCGUCGAGGGCUUCCCGCUAGAACGGCUAUGCUUUCUUCUUCUUCUUGUUCUUCUUGGGUCCUCGACUGGGGCCCGCAUCAUCAUCGGCGGGCGACUUGCCUCUACCUCCUUCACAGCUGAAGAAGGCGCCGACCGCUUCUUCCCCUGCAGCAAGUUUGCCACUAUGUCCAUCAGCUCGUCGAUGGUUUGAGGAUGAUUCCGGCCUAACUCCCGCACCAAAUCACGACUGCUGGUGCCUGAGACAAAGGCCAGGAUGACGUCAUGGUCCAGGAUGUGCGGCAGCUCGGUGCGCUGCUUCGAGAAGCAUCGAGCAUACUCUCGGAGAGUAUCCCCUGACUUCUGCUUGCACUUGCUGAGGUCCCACGAGUUACCGGGUCUUAUGUAGGUCCCUUUGAAGUUGCCCUUGAAUACUCUGACCAAAUCGACCCAAUCGUGGAUUUGAUUGGCCGGGAGUUCCUCGAGCCAUCUGCGAGCGGUGUCGGAGAGAAAAAGCGACAACUGCCGGAUGAUGGCUCGAUCGUCCCCUCGAGCGCCACCCAACUGAUAGGCUAACCGGAAGUCUGCCAACCAUAGCUCUGGCUUGGUCUCGCCGUUGUAUUUAGCGAUGCUGGUCGGGGGUCAAAAUGGGCUGGGCGCCGGCGUGCUGCGGAUUGCUCUGCUGAACAGCUGAGUUUUCGGCGGUUCUGGGGCCAUCCGGUCCUCGUCGCUGUCGUAUCUCCCAUCGCGGUGGGCACUGAAACCACGCUCUUCUGCGUCCCCAUAUCGACGGCGAUGAUUCUCGUCGAUGUCACGUCGUGCGUCGUGUCGUCGCAGAUUGUCGACGGGGUGGUUGAGGACGAGUGCUGUCUUCUUCCCUCGAGGGGGCGGCCGCUGAUGGACCGACACCUCUUUUUCGUUCUGGGCUGGCUCAUCACGCUUCUCCGUGGUUGCUCCUCGACGUCGAGAGGCCGAGCUCUCGGCCUGCUGAACUGCCGCCACUUGGAGCAGAGUCUGCACCUCGUCUCGAAUGCGUCGCGCUUGGGAGUUCGACGGUUCGGGCAUAUUGCGUAGCAGCAUUGUUGCUGCCAUGACGUUUUGACCCGCUCGAGGGAAACGGCUGACGGGCUGCUCAGGCUCCCUGUCUCAGACGAUCUGUCGAUGUACUUCUCGAGCCCUUCUGCGGACACUUCCGCCUCCCUUUCUGUAGGGGCUCGACCGCCGGCAACAACGUCUUGUGUCUCGUCGGUAGUUUCCACCGCCCCAUCGAUAUGGAAGCAUUCUCUAGUAGGGUCGUAGCUGUCAGAGUCAGAGUCAGAGUCUGGCUCGGCGGCAUAGAAUCAUCUGCGUCCUUCCUCCAGCAGCCGUUGCCUGAGGGAGGUGAUCGUGUAUCGCCAGGUCCUAAGCGGUGGAGGCCUCGUACCUAAGAGAAAUCCGGCAGCUCGGACGUCUGUUACCGCGCUCUAGCAUCGCGUGGGAGGACCAUUGGUCUCUCCACGUACGUCUGGGCGUUUGGACAUAUCGUCCUGGCGAGUGACGUUGCGGCGUUGUCCAGACUGAACGUCAGCGCUCUUCUUGGGGCGAACAGCCCGUGUGGAAGCAGCGUCGUGGCAGGCGAGAGCGCGUAAGACGCGCCGUCUCCCAACGUGGUAGUGCGAUCCUCGUGGCGUCGGGCCGUCAUACCCGCGAUUUCGGCGCGCGGGGUUGUCGGCUCCUGCGUCACCUCCCGCCUGGCACAAACUGGCGAUCGUGACGAGGCAGAGGGGUGAUGGUGGCGCCGACCACACCUUUUCUUGGUGGCGCCGACCACACCUCAAUCGGGCGGGCGCAAUGCGAGCUCCUCCCGGUCCUUUGACCCAGAGCAGGAUCAUGUCAUAGCCGAAACCGGUGGACACGAACUCGAGGCUCCUGAACCAAAUCACUGUGGAGCGCGAAAUCGGCGAAACAAGAGUGGCCAUCUAGAAAAAGAUGGGAAAUUAGUCAAAAACACGCAGGACUCCUACCUAGCGCGCCAACUAUCGGUGUUUUCCCCCCGUGGGGUCACACCAACGAGUAAAACUUGUGUGUGCGUGCUCCCCUUUCUAGAUGGUGAUGCAAGAAAAGACACAAAGAUUUAUCCUCGUUCGGGCAAGAGAAGGCCCUACGUCGAGCGGGGGGGAGUGUUUGUAUUAUCUUGCACCUAAGUGCUUGUACAGGGGUGAAUACAGGCGUGGUAUGAACUGAGAUGGAGUAAGGUUGCUCUACUAUGUAUGUCUUGUGUUGUCUUGUGUAUCCGCUCCUGGGCUUCCCCUUUUAUAGUUCCAAGGGGAGGCCUAGGUUACAUGUAUAGGCGACUAAGUAGGGAUCGAUAGGGGUGCGGCGCGCUGACCUACUCGAGGCCUCCGUACCGGCGUGGCCUCGAGCCGUCUUGUCUUGGUACCUUGAUGAUGAUUACGCAUGCCCGUGAAUCCCGCUCCUGUGUGCCGUCCUGGACUGGUUUAUCUGUUGCACGCUUGUACGUCGUGGUAGCAGCUACGUCGGAGUGCUUGAGGUGCUGUCAUUCAUCGCCCGAUCCUUCCCUAGGAAGGAAACGUGCCUACUCGAGGGUCAGGUGCCGUGUAACGCCUCGCUGGCCUGAGCGCUGACUUUGGGCGUCUUGACGGGGGUCUUGACUGGACGUUUCGACCCACUCCCUACACCCUACCACGUUCUGGCUUGUUUGGUGGGGAAGGCUGCAAAAAGAACGACAGGACGGGUGCUUGUUCCCUAUCACGCUUCCCGUGACUGACGAGUUAAGUGAGAACGCGGCAGGCACAUUAAAUGCUCUAGUUCCCAUGCCCGCGUCAGGCGGCGGGCGGCGUCCUUGCGCUCGAGGCCUUUUGAUUCGUAUGAGCUUGUUUCCGUAUUCGAGGGUUGUCGGUAGUCGAGCCUCAGAUGAUUCGGACGACGCUCUUUCUGUGUUCGAGGCUACGGUCGUCGAGGAUCGUGCCUAUGACUGGGGGUGGGGGAGUCGAGUUGGAGGCCUCGAUUUUCGUACGGAUACUCUCGCUAUGUACAUCAGUUUGGGUACCCCUUACUGAUAUCCUCGACAAAAGCGUAUUCUCGAAAAUCGUCAUGGACUGCGGGUUCUAUAUCUAAGAAGUCGAGGGGCUCUUUAAUAAAAAUCCCCGCGAAGGUGUAUGUUCUAAUCCAGGACAUUGAUCGUCGAAUGGACGGCUCAGACUUCAUCUUGGAAGACCACCGGCCGGAGCAGGGCCUCCCAUGGCGGCGCGCCAUGGCCGGGGCUCAGAGCUAUCCGGAGCUUCAACGUUUAAGCUAUUUCGGCCAUCUAAAAACGAGAGAAAAUCACCGGGAGAAAGAGGGGGGCUUCACGAACUCACUCAAGUGCUUUUUGGGGUCGGGGAGGAGCUCGGAAGAUGUCCACAACACGUCGCGGCGUAGCUUUGCGUCGUAUAAAGAUCAGCGAGGGUCAGCAGUCAAACGAGAGCACAAGAUAAAGGAGGAGAGGGCUCGGCGACCCCGUAGAAGCGUUGUAGAGCUCGUACCCUACUUCAAUUUGCCGACACAGCAGCGAAUUGGGGGCUCCACUGCAGGGGCUUCGCAAGCUUUUCGGCGAGAUUCAAGAGGCGAUGGGAGGAUGAUUAGGGCGACGCAGCCGCACGGUGAUGCUAACAGGAGAGCAUAGAGGAAGCACAAGGCUUUAUAAAGGCUUGGAUUGGAAGUUUCCUACAUUGGCCGUGAAAAUCGGGAUUCAGUUGUCAUGGAGUUCGUCUCCGGCUUGGCUACACGAGGGGAAGAAGGAAAGGGGGAAAGGGACGCUGUCGCGUGGGACCUAUUCGUCAAAGAGAGAGAGAGAGAGAGCGGGGUCCGGUUGUCAGUAGGUCAAGGGAGAUGGGAGGUCAGCGCGCGUGGGCGAGUAGCUGGGCCGCGCCCUGGGCCGUGGCCACGCGAUGCGGGGGGGGGAACUGGGGGUUUUGGCUGGGCCGCGGGAAGGAAACUGGGCCGAGCGCAAAGGGGUAGAGGGGGGCGCUAGCUACCAGGCCGAGGGGGAAGGGAAGAGAGGAGACUUGGGCCUAAGAGAGGAGGGGUUUGUCUUUAUUAUUGUAUUUUCCUUUCUUUUAUUCCAAAACCUAUUCCAAGACAAGUUGAAAACCAUUUUCAAAACCAUUUUAAAAAUCACUUUGAAUUACUUUUGAACUUUAUUAAAACCACUCAGUACAAUAAAUGAAAUGUAGGAGCAUUAGUGCACAAAAAUGUUGCUACACCUUAUGAUUAAUUUUAAUUGACUAAAAUAUUAUUUUUCCUAUAUUCAUGAGCACAAAAUACAAAAUUAAAUCUAAUUCUUCUAUUUCAAGGACUUGCAAAAUUUAGGGUGUUACAUGGGAACAGGGUGUGGAAUAGGAUUUAUGAUAUUAUUUAGGUGAUGGACAUCUAGCUGCAGCUCAGCAAUCCUAGUGAUCAGCUCUCCUUCUCUAAUCUUAGCAAGGAACAAAGCUCUAACUCUAGCAUCUUCUCUAUUUUCAGCCAAGCGCAUAGCUCAUCUCACUCUCUAGUCAUUUGCAUCAUGCGAGCUUGUGCCUCAUUGCGCUCUCUAACUGCAUUUCCAACUUUGUUGCGGCGGGCUUGCAAAGCGAUGUGAUAGUUUUGAAUUUCAGCUUGUGCAUAAGGCUUUGCGGUGCUUGCGCACGCACUUGCGCAGUUUGCGCUACCCAAUUUGAGCUUGCUGAAGAGCUAGCAUAGCUUCUAUGUAGGUGUCUUGGCGUACAUAGUACAUCUUAAGUACCGCCAGCAUGGCACUCAUAGCAGGGCUGGAGCUAUAUCCUAGUAUGGUUUCUCUCAUCUCUAGGGGCUCAGUUCCUAUCUGGGACAUAAAAGUGUCAGUUACACUCACUCUAAGAAAUGAUCCAGCUGGGCCAUUAAUUAGCUCAUCCGCAUAGUCUUCGCAUAUUUCCAAGAACACUUCUAAAGCUGCUACUUGGGGUCCCUCCCAAGGAGUUUGACCAUUGGACUCUAAUAUCCAACCUAGCCACUGUGGGUUGUUUGGACAAGGAGGAACUGUAAUUUGGACAUCUACCCAAGACAAAGAUCCUGCAUGCUCGGCCUCUGUCCAAGUGUACUGAGGUGGUUCCUCGUAUUCCACUGAACUUAGCACCCUCCACAACAAGGUAGGAGUGCCAAAAAUAUCCAGAAAAGUCUCACUUGCAUGUGGGGCUGCCAUCUGUAGGAAAGACCACAACUUGAGUAAGGAAAAUUAAUUACAAGGGAAUGUAAUUAGGUAUAGUUUCAGAAUUAUAAGAAUUGAGUAGUGCAUAAGGAAUGCAUGAAUGAUUCAUGAUGCAUACACGUUCCAUACAUCCUUACCAUUCCUAGAAGAAAGUUCUAACGGUAUAGUCGGUGGCAUACAUACGUGCACUCUUUAUAUGUAGCUACUCGGUCUACACGUUUCGUUGUUAGUGUACCUACAGAAAUUUUCAUUUCAGCCCAACCCCACAAGAGUAUAUAUGUAGAAAUGAAAGUCCAAUCAUCUACAAUCAAGCCAGGUACUUCGAUAUAUAUUCCCGAACAUAUAUCACAGCAUACUACCCAUUUGAGAUACACCCAUAUAUACAUCAAACAUGUAUAUGUGGCUGCACCUACUACCCACAAUUAAGUUCCUUCAUAUAUACAUGUGUGCAACAUGUAGUGUUCCAGUAACCAUAGCUAACACUCCCCUAGACCGACGGUUGGACGGACAUGCUCUCACAGCUCACACUUACCGUAGCGUAGAGGCAUAGAGAUCCAUACAUUACCACUCAAGCAAGUGGCAUCUAUACAAUUUCACGCCGUAUGGACGACGAAAGAAAACAAACAUUGCUUACCAUGACGUAGAGGUAUAUGAUCCAUUCAUUACCACUUCAGUAAGUGGCAUCCAUAUUAUUGCACGCCAUAUGGACGACAGAAGAAAAAACCCCCAUGUUAGUAGUAUUAAGCCACCUAACGGUCCUUGAGCGGGCAUAAAGGGUAUGACCAUGUGGCAUGGUAUAUGUUAUUGAAACAUUUUAAAAACAGCCCUAUAUAUAACUUAAUUUGCCAAUUAGUUUGGGAAAACAAAUUCAUUUGUUUUAAAAUACAUCUAUGAUGGUUAAAUGCUUAAUCUUGCUCCGAUACUAGCUGUAACAAAACCGUCCAAUUUAUAAGAAUUCAAGUGAAUUAGCGACCGCAAAGCAGUCAAGCCAAUGGACUUGAACCCAUAUAAACCCGGUAGUCCGAGGAAAUCUCAAAAGACCUCGAUUCAACCAACAUACAACCAAGAUCGUACAUGAUCAAGCAUCGCCAGCACAGAUUAUAUACAUUCGUCACAGAACAUAGUUUUACAACACAUCAGAGUUUAAACAAAGUUAUUACAAACCAGUUUAGUAGCGGAAGCAGAGUAGUUUUGAAAACAACACAUACAUACUCAGUUUAAUUACAUGCCAGAUCCAUAGUCAACCCAACAAAAGCACAACUGAAGGUAAUAGAGGUGAUCAUGCCCAUGAUCUACUCAUCGUCCGCAACAAGGGUAAACAAAACCCUGAGUACGAGAAUGCACUCAGCUAGACUUACCCGUCAUAAACCAGAAAUAAAGUGACACCAAGAAGUAUGCAAGGCUGAUAUUUGUGGGCUGGUUUGACUCACAUUUUUGCAUAAAAAAAGCUUUAGUUUUAAGUAACCCAUUUAUAACAUUUCAGCAGCAGGUUCAUUACUUAAGAACUAUCCACUAGAUUAGCACCUGUUCUAAGCAUACACUGUGAGUAUUUAAGCAUCACAAUAAUAACCAUCUCCGGAUUAUCACAUAGCUAUCAACAUUCUCAUCAUAACCAUUAAGUUCAUUUAGUGAGUUCUACGUUGCCGCUGCUUGAGUCAAGUUCUCACUAUCCAGGAGAGACGGAGAUUCGAAUCGAUUUCUAUCCAGCUGGAGGGGUAUUCCUAGCACUCACCCAAGCAUACUUCAUGAGGGCAGCUCGGAUCACAUUUAGCACAACUCCGGAGCAAGUCGCGGGACUGUCCAGCGCCGCACCGUUAGGGACCGCCAAUCUGCCAUGGUCAGGACUCUAACCUAACACCUCGGUCCUACGCCAUUGACUCCCCGCGCAUACUUACUACCAACCGGGGUGCGCACUCAUACAGAACGGGGUAUCCGGCAUGAGUUGCACUCGUAGGCUUCGCGGUUGGAACUACUUAUCCGGCCAACUAAGUGUUAGGCAUGCGUUCAACAUGACACGAGGACGUACAGCGAAUCGGUCCUUAACCGACACAGACGGAGAUAGAUUCACACCCAAGACCUCCAUGCCUUGUCGCUACACCAUCGUCAUCCCGUCCGAUCUCAAGUUCAUUAUUAGCACAUGGUUAUUUCCUCGAAAGCAAAUAUAGCCAACCGUGAUCAGCAUCCACCUAUCUCUCGUAGGUGACAGAAAAUCACCCGGCUUCUACCGGACUAAGCAUGGCUAAGCAUCAUUUCGGUCCUGGACCUACAUAGGUAAGGUGUGAGGUGGACAAGGUAGUUAAUUAUGCAGCAAGGGUGUCAUAUCAACGCCUAACACUUAAUGCAACAAUACAUAACCAUAGUCAAUUGAUAGCUGGAUGUUGACACUAGCUAACACCACUUAGAUACUAGGUUGUCAUCCCUAGCAUGGCGCCAGAGUGUACAAAGGUAUUUAUAAAUGUAAAGGCUCUCUAGAAAAUAAUCUAUUCUAUCCGCAAGCGCACAGAUAAAACACCUCAUUGUAGCAUUUCACUAGGAUAAGUAUUUCAGGUAUCGUUAUUUAUAAUUUUGCUCUAGGGAUCUAAAGAAGAUGGAAUUAAAUCAAAGGGGCAAAAUCUAUCAAGGCAUAGACUAGAGAUAAACUUCCAAGAACAUGAUUACUAAUGAGAAACUCGUCACACAGUCACUUACUCUAGCAGGGGGUAAACCAUAAAGAUAAUUGAUAAUAAAGUAUAAGUUCAUGGGAUAAAGAGCACAGCGAUUAGAAAAUAGACUACUCCUCAUAUAUGUAGGUGAUGUCGGAUUAGCUAGAGAAUGGAUUCUAAGUCAUCUACUAACUACUAAGUCAUAAUCUACUCUAGUUAUCUACAAGAUCAUAUAUAGCAUAAAAGACUCUUUAUUCAUGUAUAAGGAACAUUGAUAAAGUAAAUCAGAACAUCGCAUGACUUACUCCACAAUACCGGUUCUGCCUGUCCUAUCAACGGAGGGUGGACUAUAUAAGAAUCAACGAAGCUGUCACUAUCGUGAACUACCACACGACUCGGCCAAUAGGAUACAUUUGCAGAUAAAUAACAUCUAAGCACCACGCUCACAUGUGAUUUAUCACCUAACUCCCUCACGACAAGAGCUAAGCGCUUUGCAAACUUAUACAUAAACUCAUU